GCCAACAUCCUCAGAAUAGACUGUUCCACCUGAAUAUCAUUUAAUACAUCCUCUAAACAGGAAAAAGAAAGAGCCAGGAGGAACCCUCUUUGGGUAAUAACAAAUUGCAAACACUGACCUCAGUAAUCAUUCCUUCAAAGAAGUCUGAAUUUUAUUGCAUUACUCAGUAGAGAAACUUAUGUUCUAGGGCAUUUUGGAAACAAUGGAGCAAUCAGCAGGUAAUUAUU
rnacentral:lncRNA from 1 species